rnacentral:rRNA from 1 species
UAGGGAAUCUUCCACAAUGGACGCAAGUCUGAUGGAGCAACGCCGCGUGAGUGAAGAAGGUUUUCGGAUCGUAAAGCUCUGUUGUUGGUGAAGAAGGAUAGAGGCAGUAACUGGUCUUUAUUUGACGGUAAUCAACCAGAAAGUCACGGCUAACUACGUGCCAGCAGCCGCGGUAAUACGUAGGUGGCAAGCGUUGUCCGGAUUUAUUGGGCGUAAAGCGAGCGCAGGCGGAAUGAUAAGUCUGAUGUGAAAGCGCACGGCUCAACCGGGGAAAUGCAUCGGAAACAGUAAUUAUUGAGUGCAGAAGAGGAGAGUGGAAUUCCAUGUGGAGCGGUGGAAUGCGUAGAUAUAUGGAAGAACACCAGUGGCGAAGGCGGCUCUCUGGUCUGCAACUGAAGCUGAGGCUCGAAAGAAUGGGUAGCGAACAGG